UGUUUACCAAACCCCACACCUGAGGAUCUGCUGCCCUGAAAGGAAGCUCCAGACCCCCUCCAGGGGAGAGUGAGCUGGCUUCGAGGGCACAAGGACUCCUCCUUCAGGCCUACGUGACUUGAGGCAAAGUCCUCGGGGCAAUCGACCUCCACUAUACAAUGGAGGACAGAGCGUCACAGCCCUCACGGUGAUCCUGCAUUGGGGUCGCAGCAGGUCCCAGCAGGCUUCCCAGGCUGACCCUGAGCUAUGGCGGCGGGUCGUGGCCCAGCCUACUCUCAGAAGCCCACUGGUGAGAAGUCAUCAGCCAACCAUAUUGGACAAGGACCUGGUCAGAGACCCAUCUCAGCUCCCGUCCCCCAAAAAACAAGGAUGAGGAUGGCC